CUCCCUGGCCCUUUGAGCCAAAUGGAGAGCGUGACUGUGAAAGAUGCCAACCCCGAAGAGACAGGAAGACCACAGUCUGAAAUAUUCUUUGAAUCCCCGGAUCCAGCCAUGCCUGAAGCUAUGCACACCUGGAUUUUUCAGGUGAAUGAACAAAAUAAUCUUCCCUUUUUAUUUCUUUUGUUUAAACAGGAUUCAUUUGGUUUUUGUCCCUUCAAUUGUAAGACUCUGAAGGAUAUUGCACGUUCCUGAGAGAGGGCACAGCCUAUAGGGAGAGAAGCACUGCAGUGUUGUCAAGAAGCUAAAAUCAUGCCAGUGUGGCCAAAGCAAGGGAGAGGACGGGGAGUGCCUUUGUAUCUGGACUCAGAGGUGCCCAGAGUCUAAGCACAAUAAAUUGGGCAAGUGAGAGUGGGAGUGGGGGAGAUAAUGUAAGAACUAAAAGCCUUGACAUGCUCAAUGUGCUCUUUUUGAGUCCUCUUCCAGGCUGCCCCAAAGUCCUCACUUCUUACCAAACCCCCAUCUUGACUCUAUCCACCCCCGAGUCCUGCAUCCAAGACCGGGAACAGAUAGGGCUUAUUGGGGCCAUAAAGGCCAUUUAGUGUAAAAUCUUUUUAAAUUUCAUUUUUAUUUUAUUAUAUCAUUUUUGUUUUAUUUUAUUAUUUUCUUUUAUUGUUUUAUUUAUUUUAUCAAAUAAUACAUGGACACUUUCUCUUGGUAAAAAGAUAAAAUCUAAUAAUGUGGAAAAAGCAAAUCGCAUCAUUUUACAGAAUGGGAAUGGGGUCUGGGUAGUUCAUAUAGUUCACAUGAGGUUAUAUAACAAAUUUUUCCGGCAUCUGGG
rnacentral:lncRNA from 1 species